ACCCCAUGGUGUGGAUAUUGUCUCAACGGUUCUUUAAAUAUCUCUUGUCAUCAAAUAAAGAUUCAUCUUCCUAUUGCCUAAAUGAUGCAAUCUCAUUUCUCAUGUU